GGGGGGCGGGGGGAUAAAAGGAGGGUGCUGCGGAGACAGUCUACAGAGGAUCAUGAUCAGGCUGAAGUAUGAGUAGGACUCUGCUGUGGCUGCUGGCCUCUCUGGCGUCUCUGGCCUCUUUCUCUCUGACCUCUCUGAUGGUGCUCCAUUGAAGGUGAUGUCAGCCCCUAACUUGUUGCGGGUGGGGACAGCAGAAAACAUCUUCGUGGAGUGUCAGGACUGCACCGGGGG